UACGUAGGGCGCAAGCGUUAUCCGGAAUUACUGGGCGUAAAGAGCUCGUAGGUGGUUUGUCGCGUUGUUCGUGAAAACUCACAGCUCAACUGUGGGCGUGCGGGCGAUACGGGGCAGACUAGAGUACUGCAGGGGAGACUGGAAUUCCUGGUGUAGCGGUGGAAUGCGCAGAUAUCAGGAGGAACACCGGUGGCGAAGGCGGGUCUCUGGGCAGUAACUGAC
rnacentral:rRNA from 1 species